GUAAUUGAAGCAUGAUCAAGAUAGGAUCAUCAAAGAAUCAUCAAAAUGAGAGUGUUGAACUUUGGGAGUUCUAAAUUGAAUGAGAUUCGGAAAAGCAUUUAAUUUAAAUGAAAUAACUAAAACCUUUUGCUGAAGAAGAUAGAUACCGAUCAAAAAAACAUUCAAAUUCUAACAGAAAAAUCCAUUGUGAAAGAAUCAAAAGUUUCUUUUUUAGUUCGGAAAAUGAAAAUGAAAUAUAACAAGAAAAAGCAUGUAAACAAUCUUUCUUCUUUUUGUUGUUGCUUAAAUCUAAAAUAUAAAAUUAUUAUAUAAUAAUAUAAAACAAAA
rnacentral:lncRNA from 1 species